CACGUAGGGGGCAAGCGUUGUUCGGAAUUACUGGGCGUAAAGGGCAUGUAGGCGGUUUUGUAAGCCUGACGUGAAAGGCUGUGGCUCAACCACAGUACGGCGUUGGGAACUGCGAAACUCGAGUCACGGAGAGGGAGCUGGAAUUCCAGGUGUAGGGGUGAAAUCUGUAGAUAUCUGGAAGAACACCAGUGGCGAAGGCGAGCUCCUGGCCGAUGACUGACGCUGAGGUGCGAAAGUGUGGGGAUCAAACAGG
rnacentral:rRNA from 1 species